rnacentral:rRNA from 1 species
UCGGACCUGGCCUUACCAGCUUGGUCUGGUCUGGUCGUGCCCUCCUUAGCCCACGUGCAACCCGGGAGAGGAGGAGACCAGAGCAAAGCCUCGUCUCGUCUCGUCGCGCUGCUGAGGAGAACCUGAGGAAGAGGGGGGAGGGCGAGCGAGGCGGAGGCGAAGGGCGGGUCACCUCGAGCGAGCGUGCGGGCGAGGGUGGCGGUAAGGCCGCUCCUUAAUUACCACCACACUAGAGAGGGGCAGAAUCGGUACAUAUAUUUCUUCCAAUAUUAGCUUCCCAAAUUUUCGAUGUCCCUCCUCUGGAGCUGUCUUGGAAAGUCGGGGUUUCAAUUGCAUCAGCAACCACGUUUACCUAGACCGUUUAGUUUAAAAAAGGUACGAUAUGCGAAACAGGACUCACUGUACAAAGUCUUGGACGCGUCACUCCUGUCCCCUCGAGAAGAGGUACUUCCACGACCUGUGAGUCAACAUAGACGAAAACAGCUCUAUUAAAAACUAUUAAGUCUGUUGGCAUAAGGUCAACUAUUUCUUCUCCAUGCGAACGCUUCCUGUCAACGAAGUUUCUUCCUACUUAUGAUGAACCUACCCUUUGUACAGUCAUUUUGACUUCAGUACUUAGACGACCUCUCGCGACCAAAGAGAGCUAGAUUAGGUAUGAUACAACAGGUCGUUCCUUUCUAACGUAGGGAAUGAGAUUACUUUCUAAGACUUGCUGACCUAGAAGAGUUUCUCUAACCACCAUGCGCACAAAUACUUCUAUCUGCAGCCCUCUCGAACUUUUAUUACGUUCUUUGUCGGUUAUUUUCCUUCGUCUAACUAGUUCAACAGGCGAUGGACCUCCUCUCUGACUCUCUUGAACUACUUCUCUUCCUCCUUGAUUUCUUCAUGGUCGUCGACCUGUUUGUCUCUUCUAGUGAACUUAUAUGAUAUAACCUGGUACUUGAUUUACUACGAUCUUUACUUAAUCGAAGCUACCUACUAUUAGCUUCUGUUUAAAGACUUUCCUACAGAGUUCGCCUGUUACUUCACCAUCUCAAUGCACUCUCCCAGUUUUCAAACCUCUUUCUUUAUUUUCGGAGAUGAUUUCCCUAUUUACUUUGGUUCAGACUUUUCCCGCUACGUCUCUUCUUCGCAUGACUUCGUGAUUUCCAUCAAAGAGUCUAGCUUGAACUAGACUCUCUAAAUUUUCUGUCUUAAAGUUCACUUUUUGCUCGUUUCCUACUUCGGCAUUCCCUCAAUUUAUCAUACUCCUUUCUUUCACUUUUCAGUUUCAGACUUAACCGAGUUUAAUCAUUCCACGUACGCCGGUUUAACUUCCUUCUCCUUCUAUAUAGUUUUUCAUAUUACCUGGCGCUCUUCGCCGACUCAUAUAACAUGGUUUUCGUCCCCUCCCGUUGAGUUAAAUUCUUACUCCGACGGUCUCUACUCACCGAAGCCUUUCUUUAAGUACUAGAACUCGCACAUGAAAAUAGUUUAUCUUUCGUCCUUUCGAAUGAAGUUCUACUUUCAGUCUUCGAAUUUCUACUUUAAUUAUUCAACUGUUUGGUGUAACUUAGAGCCUCUUCACUUAGUUCGUUCAAUCUCCGACAAGAACGUCUGUUCGUUUUCUUAGUGUUACUGAAGUGCUUCGUCUUUUUACGUGAAGUUCUACUUUCCUUUAGUAAAACCUUCCUCCUUUUAUCGCACUGUCGACUUUAGCUAUCCGAUUUCCUUCUAGAACACUUCCGUGUCUUCUCAAACCUGGUACGUUGUGGACCCCUAUAGUCCUCUCCGGACUUAAGACAAUCGGCUUAGUAGUCCCUGGUACCAUAACCUCCUCAAAAACCAGGUCACAAUCUUGACCAACUGACGCUUCUCUUCAAAAAAUGUCGACAACUCCAGUGACGACCCUUAUCGAACAAGGUACACCACCAACUUUUACUGCUAUAUAGCUGUUCCUAUUAAGUCCAUAACUGAGCUCUUUUUCCACCUGCCCACUGAAAGUAUGGUGACUUAUCUCACGUGCGAGGCUUGCAGUUACAAGGUGUCUCGAGACUAAAACAAGGUAACAAUUUCUUCAAUUUCAAAGCACGACUCGUAGCAGCGCGAAAACUUGUCCAAAAACCAUCCUGUCAAUAUACGGCUCUGGACCUUUGACGCUGGUCUCAACGUGCGUCGUUAUCAGAUCUAACGUAGUGUGAACUACCACUAGUUCAUCGCUUUUUCCCACCGUACUGUCCUCCAAAGAUACUAAGAUCUGCGAGUUCUGACUUCAAACAUUUUCAUUAGUCCCUGUUGUUUCGUCUUUAACUUUUUUUCUGCCGUGUAGAUCUCUUGCACCCUUUUUUCAAUUUUCUAUAUCUAUUCUUUUAAUGCCUAAACUAAUGGUUUGUAGUCGUUUACCUGCGACUUGCACUAGUACGGUUCAGCCUCAACCUUGUCAAAUUUCGACUAUAACGGUCACGUUGCUUCGUCUUCCCUAGUGACCUCUUUCGGGAACGUUUCUUCCUUUUUAGUGAGCGCUUGUAGGCGUUGGUUUAACUCGUUUAGGUUAGACCGUAACGUUACUUUUUACUACUCUACCCGUGUCUUGACUAACUGGUCGAUUGAAAUCUUCUUUCUCUAGAGGAAAGCGCUGACUUAGGACUUUAAUGAUCUAACUUCCUCUUCAAGGAGAGCACAUUUUUGUCAGCGUAACUCUAACUUUGUUCUUUCCUUCUUGACCUCUUGUUAAACAGUUGAUUAGAAUACUCCGCAGUCUUUCUCAACCUUCGUUAUUAAAGUAGACGUCUAAGAUUUUGAAACGGACAACUUCAGCUUCGUUUCCUCGUUCUUAACUUUCUCAGAUUCUCCUGAGAACUACUCCGCUGCUGUCAUGACUUUCGAUUACAACUACGAUAAUUACGGGUAUGUUCUGUCUACCUCGUUGACUUUUUUGUUUCCCUACUAGACUUCCGAGAACUUCGAUUAAACCUCGUCUGCCACGUUCUACCACGCUUUCUGAACCUUGUCAACUACUCGUCAUCCUCGUGCAUAGAACAGUUCGUUCUACUCACAUACUUCUUUUAGGCUCUAGACCCGAGUAACGGACGGCUACGAAAGCUUUGCAUGUUCUCUUUUUUGUUCUUCGUCGAUGUCUUCGACGAGAUACUGACGUUACUCGUCAACUUCGUUAAAUCAGUACAGUUGGUUUUCCGAGAACUGGUUAUACACUUGAAGUGACUUGUCGCACUUGUUGACGUCUCUUCUGCCCGACUUGAACUACGACCACUGCUCUUUUAAUCUCUCAACUAUAGUCAAAAUCUGGUUUCCUUCCUACUUAGUUAACUUGCGUGUAAAUUUCCUCAACGUUCCGUGAAGGCGCUUCACAAGAGACUUAAUCACGUUCCACCGGUGCCUAUGAACCAAUACUACUUCUUUUUCCUACCACUACGACCGCUACUACUGUACCUACUCCUGCGCGGAGCACUUCGUCUAGGACUUCCCUCCUAUCUCUUCAUAUAACCACACUUUCAGUUCCAAAGGAAGUGACCGUUCCCUCUUUGAGUCAGGUACUUCGUCAACAGACCUCCCGUCUUCUGUCACCACCGUAAUUGUGACUAGAAGCGAUAGGUUGCUACACUGGGUCGAGGCAAGAUGGACAAACUACUCUAACUACGACGAGACCUAGGAGUCACGUCUUCCCGACAGCCC